rnacentral:misc_RNA from 1 species
UGUGGGAGCGGGCUUGCUCGCGAUGAGGACGCCGAGGUCUGUCAGACUGAUUUCGGGAUCCCAUCGCAAGCAAGCCCGCUCCCACA